CAGUAGCCACGGUAAUACGAAGGGGGCUAGCGUUGCUCGGAAUCACUGGGCGUAAAGGGUGCGUAGGCGGGUUUUUAAGUCAGAGGUGAAAUCCUGGAGCUCAACUCCAGAACUGCCUUUGAUACUGGGAAUCUUGAGUAUGGAAGAGGUGAGUGGAACUGCGAGUGUAGAGGUGAAAUUCGUAGAUAUUCGCAAGAACACCAGUGGCGAAGGCGGCUCACUGGUCCAUAACUGACGCUGAGGCACGAAAGCGUGGGGAGCAAACAGGAUUAGAUACCCGGGUAGUCCCUGUCUCUUAUAC
rnacentral:rRNA from 1 species